rnacentral:rRNA from 1 species
GAUGAACGCUGGCGGCGUGCUUAACACAUGCAAGUCGAACGGAAAGGCCCGGCUCUUGCUGGGUGCUCGUGUGGCGAGCGGGUGUGUAACACGUGAGGAUCCCCCCCUUGACUUGGUGGUAACUCCAAGGAACUGGGGCUACUACCGGAGAGGAGCUCCUGAAGCGUGGGGGUGGUUGGAAAUUGUCGGCGUUGGGGGAUGGACUGGCGGCUUACCAGCUUGUUGGUGGGGUAGUGGCGUACCACGGGUUUGAAGGGUGGGCGGCCGGGGAGGGUGAACGGCGACAUUGGGACUGAGAUACGGCCCAGACGCCUACGGGAGGCAGUGGUGGGGAAUAUUGCACAAUGGGCGGGAGUCUGAUGCAGAAACGCCGCGUGCGGGAUGCCGGCCUUCGGGUUGUAAACAGCUUUGGCCUGUGACGAAGCGUGAGUGACGGUACUGGGUAAAGAAGCACCGGCUAACUACGUG